AGAGUUUGAUCAUGGCUCAGAUUGAACGCUGGCGGCAGGCCUAACACAUGCAAGUCGAGCGGUAACAGAAAGUAGCUUGCUACUUUGCUGACGAGCGGCGGACGGGUGAGUAAUGCUUGGGAACAUGCCUUGAGGUGGGGGACAACAGUUGGAAACGACUGCUAAUACCGCAUAAUGUCUACGGACCAAAGGGGGCUUCGGCUCUCGCCUUUAGAUUGGCCCAAGUGGGAUUAGCUAGUUGGUGAGGUAAUGGCUCACCAAGGCAACGAUCCCUAGCUGGUUUGAGAGGAUGAUCAGCCACACUGGAACUGAGACACGGUCCAGACUCCUACGGGAGGCAGCAGUGGGGAAUAUUGCACAAUGGGCGAAAGCCUGAUGCAGCCAUGCCGCGUGUGUGAAGAAGGCCUUCGGGUUGUAAAGCACUUUCAGUUGUGAGGAAAAGUUAGUAGUUAAUACCUGCUAGCCGUGACGUUAACAACAGAAGAAGCACCGGCUAACUCCGUGCCAGCAGCCGCGGUAAUACGGAGGGUGCGAGCGUUAAUCGGAAUUACUGGGCGUAAAGCGUACGCAGGCGGUUUGUUAAGCGAGAUGUGAAAGCCCCGGGCUCAACCUGGGAACUGCAUUUCGAACUGGCAAACUAGAGUGUGAUAGAGGGUGGUAGAAUUUCAGGUGUAGCGGUGAAAUGCGUAGAGAUCUGAAGGAAUACCGAUGGCGAAGGCAGCCACCUGGGUCAACACUGACGCUCAUGUACGAAAGCGUGGGGAGCAAACGGGAUUAGAUACCCCGGUAGUCCACGCCGUAAACGAUGUCUACUAGAAGCUCGGAACCUCGGUUCUGUUUUUCAAAGCUAACGCAUUAAGUAGACCGCCUGGGGAGUACGGCCGCAAGGUUAAAACUCAAAUGAAUUGACG
rnacentral:rRNA from 1 species